rnacentral:rRNA from 1 species
UACAGAGGGUGCAAGCGUUAAUCGGAAUUACUGGGCGUAAAGCGUGCGUAGACGGUUAUUUAAGUCAGGUGUGAAAGCCCCGGGCUCAACCUGGGAAUUGCAUUUGAGACUGAAUAGCUAGGGUGCGGAAGAGGGAAGCGGAAUUUCCGGUGUAGCGGUGAAACGCGUAGAUAUCGGAAGGAACACCAGUGGCGAAAGCGGCUUCCUGGUCCAGCACCGACGUUCAGGCACGAAAGCGUGGGGAGCAAACAGG